rnacentral:rRNA from 1 species
UACGUAGGGUGCAAGCGUUGUCCGGAAUUACUGGGCGUAAAGAGUUCGUAGGCGGUUUGUCGCGUCGUUUGUGAAAACCAGCAGCUCAACUGCUGGCUUGCAGGCGAUACGGGCAAACUUGAGUACUGCAGGGGAGACUGGAAUUCCUGGUGUAGCGGUGAAAUGCGCAGAUAUCAGGAGGAACACCGGUGGCGAAGGCGGGUCUCUGGGCAGUAACUGACGCUGAGGAACGAAAGCGUGGGUAGCGAACAGG